UACGUAGGGGGCGAGCGUUGUCCGGAUUUACUGGGCGUAAAGAGCGCGCAGGCGGUCGUUCAAGUCGGAUGUGAAAGCCCCCGGCUCAACUGGGGAGGGUCAUUCGAUACUGUUCGACUCGAAGGCAGGAGAGGGAAGCGGAAUUCCCGGUGUAGUGGUGAAAUGCGUAGAUAUCGGGAGGAACACCAGUGGCGAAGGCGGCUUCCUGGCCUGUUCUUGACGCUGAGGCGCGAAAGCUAGGGGAGCAAACGGG
rnacentral:rRNA from 1 species